ACACUACCCAGGCCCACUCCCAGCCAUGUCCUCAACACUUCAUACCUGGAUUUCUGCAGCUGCAUCUUCUCUGGGCACCCACAUGCCUGCAAGCUCUCUCCUGCCUGUGGUGGCCAUCUUGUUCAUCCUUCUCAAGCCCUGCUUACAUCAAGGCAGGACUGCAGAUGCAUUCAAAUCUUGGGCUAACAGAAUGGAGGGGCAGACAACCUCAAACUGGCCUCUAAUGGAGCCAGCCAGCACUCAUGAAGGCAUCUGUUCACUGCCCUUGCUAGGGGACCCAGGCAGCAAGGGGCUGGAAGAGCUGCCAAGAUAGCAAAUCAGGUCCUGAUAAGUCAUAAGUCAUGGGGAGCAGGAU